AGAGCCCCGGGGCGUGUGCACUGGAGGUGGGGCCCCAGGUGCGCAGGUGGCUGUCUCGGAGGUUUGUGUAGGGGGAUUGGCAGUUUCUGGAUCCUUCCUCCAUGAUUUUCAGCACAGGGGAGCUCUCCUUUCUGCAGUGUGGAGGAGCGCUGGGCAGGAGGCGGCGCUGAGGGAGCCUGCCUUGAUCUCUGCAAUCAUGAAUGUGGCUGAGCAAAUGCAGCUUGUACCUGCUGGAUGGAUACACCUCCCAGAUGCUCUGUUGCUAGAAGGUUCCUGGCAGUGCAGGGAAAGGUGGCUCUGCAGGUGGAGGCUCCACAUAAUGGGCUCAAAACAUCUGGUCCAGUGGUUAAAAGCUGUUCACAGGGGUGACUGGACCCCACUAAGCAUUCUUUCGUCUGUAGUGAAUAUUUCACCAAAAACAGCUCUAGGAAAGGCUGGAGGAUCAGUACUAUGUGCUCAAGCCAUGGCCACGCCCUCCAUCUUCCACCUGACCGAGAAGUGGGGGCUGAAGGCCACGGCCGCUCCAGGAGAAAGGACACUAGGAAGGCCACCGGGGGCCUGAGGAACAUGUGCGUGAAGCAGAUGGGAAAGGAGUUUCAGGUUUAUUGUGGUCCUUGAGGGAAAAGCUGAGGGCCCAGCCGUGGUCCCGCAAGUGGAAGUAACCCGCUCUGCAGGGUGAACACGCACCCAGUGCCGCCCAGGAAGCUGCCAGUCAGGAUUGGGCGCAAUCUCUGGAAGGAACUCCAGGAGACAGUGUGGCCUCCACAGCAUUAGGCAGCCAAGGAGAUGCAAACACGUCUGCUGUAGAUGCUGGUGAUGAGACCCCCUCUUCCCAGCCAGGGCCUGCUGGGUAAGAGUGGCAUUUCCGUGGAUGACUUUAUCCCUCAGGAUUGGGGCGUGUAGAUUUAUUGGCUGGCUUCCUUCUUACAGUUUCUUCUCAGAGCACACUCAAGAGAGGCCAUCUGUCCCUUGAGAGGCUGUUGACCAAAAGAGGCUGAAGAAGGAUGUGGAGCCCAGCUGCAGCGGGACCAGCCUGGGGCCUGAUGAGAGCUUGGCCCAGAACCCCCAAGUUCAUCAUUCACAAUGAUGCCUCAGAAACCCUCCCAGAGCCCCUCCACCCUCCGACGGAUGUCACCCUGAAGCCAGCCGCAGAAGCUGUGCGGGGCGAGCACAGCAACACCGGCCCCACGUCCCUCAGCUGAGUCAUCCUGUCAGCACUGGGGGCCCAAGAUCUCCUCGACUGCUGCACUCCUACUGCUUCUGCUCCAGGAGGAACAGGAGCACGGGUGCCGCCUGCGGGAGCAGGUGGAGAAGAACGGUGAGCUGAAGAGGGGCAGCCGCCGACAACCAGGUGCACAAGCUGCAGGAGGAGCUGGACGAGCUGAAGGGAGGGGCUCCCUGCCUUAGCAGCCUGCUGCCCCCCGCCGAGGUCAAACACCAAGGGUAGAGGUAGUCAAGAGAUCAAGUCUAAUCUACCUACGGGUGUGGCAGGCUUACCUAUGGAUGUUCAAGCCAGACAUUGCCAGAAGAACUACAUCUCUUCACCCAUAGAAAAAUGAAUGAUGUGACCAUUUGGUGCAGGACAACAGCAUUAUGUUCACCAGUCUCUGUACUGUAUGUUACUGCACAGCAUGGACUGUAGGAAAAAGCCCAGAGGAGCAAUGAAGACAAAGAAGACACGACACCUGCAAAAAGUCAGUGGAGUAUUUCUACACAACAAACCUUCCAGGUGAGUGACGGUCAGUAUCUUCCACUGCUCCAGCUCUCGCAAGAAACCUAGUACCUUCCCAGGGUAAGCUGGAGGACCACGGCCCACUAGUCCACUCCCCGCCCAGGGCCUGUUUGUGCAGGGUGACUGCCAUCAAGCAGACAAUGGACUCAGGAUGGGGCCUGUGUCUUUGGGGAGGCUGGUAGAGAGGCACAAAGUCGAACACCAGCUAAGGGCACACACCUGAGAGGUGGAGUUCCAGGUGGAGACUCAAAAUGUACCAAGACACUGCAUGAAGGAAGCUACUCGACCUCCCUGAGCCUCAGUGUCCCCCCCUGUAAAAUGGGAAUCACAGGCCUACUUCACAGAGCUGUUGGGGAAGAUACAUAAAAGUGCCUGUGACAGUCAGUGUCCACAUUAUUAACAAAGUCGUCUCCAACUUCAGAAUAAUCGAUGAAAAGAGUAAUGUUGAUGAGACCAAAGACGAGAUGCCCAGCUUCAUAACAGCCCCAGCAGCAUGAGAAUGAGAGGAGCUCCGAGUAAGCAGGGUUCUUCACAGCUCCACUGGAGAGGAUGAACAUGGGCUACACCAGGAUAAGCGGCUGUUGUACAGUGACUCGUGUAGUGAGGGUUCUCCGCCACCAACUUCCAUAACCAUCAGGAUAUUCUACAACUUCUGCAAGAGUAACAAUUUUGCCUUACACUGUAUUUAUCUCAUGUGGUUUAAAACAUCCAGAAAUCAUUGAUAAACUGACCCUGCCCAAACUAAAGCAUGGUGAGUUAUAAAAGAUGGUCGCUGUUAAGUGGGGAGGGAUUGCAGGUUGAACUUAAUUUUAUAAGUGGUCAAUUUAUUACAAUAUAUUGUUCUAUUAUCUAUUUCACUUCUUUUUUUAAAAAAGUGAUAUUUGAGGGCACUUAGAUAAUAAAAAGUUGAGAAGAUAACGAACUGAUAUACUCUGUAAGCUUGAAAUGUUUUCAAGCAUAAGAUACAAUAAGAACUAAAACUAAGAAAUGGCAGAGGAAAUAGAGAUAAGAGGAUGAAAUUGCAAAACUGAAUCUAUAAUAAUAUCUCAAUGGCUAGCGCUGUGGUGCCAAGAAGGUGGUGAAGUCAAAGAAUUCGUAAAGAUGAUAAUAGACUGCAAAGAAAAAAGACUGAAAUUUUUGUAGAGAGAAUUUUUACAGCGAUAUUACAGAUAGAGAACAGGGAAGAGAAGUUGGAGUGAGAGACUAUCUUCUUAAAUUACUUCCACUGUAGAGAACAAAAAACCAAUUUGCUGAAAUCUUUAUUCCCUUCUAUGACCCUGUGGAAGAUGAAGAUUUGGCCAACCUGAAAUCUAUCUCUUUACCUUGGUUGUUUUCUCUGAGGGCAUUUGACCUCCCCCACUAACUGCCUAAAGAAUUUAAAACAAAACAUCUGUUUCAGGAAGGACUUAUUAUCAUGAUGGCUGUAAAUAUAAUGUACAAUAGAUGUUACAAUAGAAAAGACACCAACAAGCCUAUCUUAUCAGAAGUUCUGUCUCUGACCAUAUUCUUUGGAUGGCCCUGCAAGGAGUUGCCAGACAGACAUUUACAUUUAUAAGGGAAAUCUCCAUUUGUAAAGGUAUCUGCCUCUCUGAAUUGGGAAGAGGGGGAAUGACCUCAUUUCUAGAAACUUAUCAAUGUAAAAGGUGAGGCCUUAAAUCUGCAUAAUAACCUCACUCUUGUUUACUGUGCUUUAGUGGUAAUCUCCUGUAACUGACUCCCCCCACCCCCAACAUCUUCCUUUGUCAUUGGCUGAACAUGAUAUUUAAGAUGAGAAUUCUGCUAUUGUGUUGAGAAACGCAGUGUCCUUGCUUUCUCCCAUGCAUACAUGUUAUUAAACUUGGUAUUAUUUUCUCCUUCUAA